rnacentral:misc_RNA from 1 species
AGCAAUGUAUCAUAUCAGUCAAUUUCCCUGUCAGUCCAUGUAAAAUCAUGAGCAGCUGCUACUCUCUCUAGAUCUCUUACUGCUAGAAACCCUCUUAAUGACCUUCAGAAUACAAAACAAACAUAAUGCAUUAAAACUGAAAAGUUUCAAACUACACACAUAAAAAUGAUAAUUCCUCAUUUCUUCAAAAUGAUAAUUCCGCGGUUGACUCUACUUCUGAGCCGAAUCCAUUCUGAUUUCGUGUUCCGCGAUUCUCAAUAGCCUUUGUUUUUGGGACUCUGAUAUCCCCUGCUUCAUCACAAUCCUGUUGGGAAUCCCAGGCUCGUCCACUUAUUCUUCUUCUUCUUCGAUUUCGCUUAACUUCACUGUUUCGAGUUCUGAAUCUGAUCUGUCAUGUUUUGCUAUUUAGAUUCUGCUGCUGCUAUUCGCGGGAUUAAGGGAUUGAUAGUCGAUUGGAUUUUAGAGACACUGUGAUAGCGAGCUUCUCCCGAGGCGCAUAAUCCGAUACAAACUAGAGGAUACACCUAAUUUCUUGGCUUAGAUAAUUGUGAAAUUCGCUUUUCACUAUUAAAAAAAAAAU